rnacentral:rRNA from 1 species
CGCGUAGGCGGUCUUGUAAGUCAGAUGUGAAAGCCCGGGGCUCAACCCCGGAAGUGCAUUUGAGACUGCGAGACUUGAGUAUGGGAGGGGGAAGUGGAAUUCCUGGUGUAGAGGUGAAAUUCGUAGAUAUCAGGAGGAACACCAGUGGCGAAGGCGACUUCCUGGACCAAUACUGACGCUGAUGCGCGAAGGCGUGGGGAGCAAACAG